rnacentral:rRNA from 1 species
CCUACGGGUGGCAGCAGUGGGGAAUAUUGCACAAUGGGGGAAACCCUGAUGCAGCGACGCCGCGUGAGCGAAGAAGUAUUUCGGUAUGUAAAGCUCUAUCAGCAGUGAAGAAAAUGACGGUCCCUGAGUAAGAAGCUCCGGCUAAAUACGUUCCAGCAUCCGCGGUAAUACGUAUGGAGCAAGCGUUAUCCGGAUUUACUGGGUGUAAAGGGAGCGCAGGCGGCCUUGCAAGUCUGAUGGGAAAUACCGGGGCUCAACCCCGGAGCUGCAUUGGAAACUGUGAGGCUGGAGUGUCGGAGAGGCAGGCGGAAUUCCUAGUGUAGCGGUGAAAUGCGUAGAUAGUAGGAGGAACACCAGUGGCGAAGGCGGCCUGCUGGACGAUGACUGACGCUGAGGCUCGAAAGCGUGGGGAGCAAACAGGAUUAGAUACCCUUGUAGUC